rnacentral:rRNA from 1 species
UACGAAGGGGGCUAGCGUUGCUCGGAAUCACUGGGCGUAAAGCGCACGUAGGCGGAUUGCUAAGUCAGGGGUGAAAUCCUGGAGCUCAACUCCAGAACUGCCCUUGAUACUGGCGGUCUCGAGUCCGGGAGAGGUGAGUGGGACUGCGAGUGUAGAGGUGAAAUUCGUAGAUAUUCGCAAGAACACCAGUGGCGAAGGCGGCUCACUGGCCCGGUACUGACGCUGAGGUGCGAAAGCGUGGGGAGCAAACAGG